rnacentral:rRNA from 1 species
GCGUUGUUCGGAUUUACUGGGCGUAAAGGGCGCGUAGGCGGCCACCGCAGGUCGGUUGUGAAAUCUCUGGGCUUAACCCAGAAAGGUCAACCGAUACUGCGGGGCUAGAGUGCAGAAGGGGCAACUGGAAUUCUCGGUGUAGCGGUGAAAUGCGUAGAUAUCGAGAGGAACGCCUGCGGCGAAGGCGGGUUGCUGGGCUGACACUGACGCUGAAGCGCGAAAGCUAGGGGAGCGAACGGG